rnacentral:rRNA from 1 species
CACGCCCUAAACGAUGUCUACUUGCUGUUGGGGGCAACCUUAGUAGCGAAGCUAACGCGAGAAGUAGACCGCCUGGGGAGUACGGUCGCAAGAUUAAAACUCAAAGGAAUUGACGGGGACCCGCACAAGCGGUGGAUGAUGUGGAUUAAUUCGAUGCAACGCGAAGAACCUUACCUGCUCUUGACAUGUACGGAAGAUUUCAGAGAUGAGAUUGUGCCUUCGGGAACCGUAACACAGGUGC